rnacentral:rRNA from 1 species
AUUGAACGCUGGCGGCAGGCCUAACACAUGCAAGUCGAGCGGAGCGGCGGACGGGUGAGUAAUGCCUAGGAAUCUGCCUGGUAGUGGGGGAUAACGUCCGGAAACGGGCGCUAAUACCGCAUACUAUCAGAGUAGCCUAGGGCGGAUUAGCUAGUUGGUGGGGUAAAGGCCUACCAAGGCGAAGAUCCGUAACUGGUCUGAGAGGAUGAUCAGGCAAAGUGGAACUGAGACACGGGCCAGACGCCUACGGGAGGCAGCAGGGGGGAGUAGUGCACCAUGGGGGAAACCCUGAUGCAGCAACGCCGCGUGCGGGAUGACGGCCUUCGGGGUGUAAACCGCUUUCAGCCAUGACGCGGUAGUGGCAGAAGAAGCACCGGCUAACUACGUGCCAGCAGCCGCGGUAAUAC